rnacentral:rRNA from 1 species
AGUGAACGCUGGCGGUAGACCUAACACAUGCAAGUCGAACGGCAGCACAGUAAGAGCUUGCUCUUACGGGUGGCGAGUGGCGGACGGGUGAGGAAUACAUCGGAAUCUACUUUUUCGUGGGGGAUAACGUAGGGAAACUUACGCUAAUACCGCAUACGACCUACGGGUGAAAGCAGGGGAUCUUCGGACCUUGCGCGAUUGAAUGAGCCGAUGUCGGAUUAGCUAGUUGGCGGGGUAAAGGCCCACCAAGGCGACGAUCCGUAGCUGGUCUGAGAGGAUGAUCAGCCACACUGGAACUGAGACACGGUCCAGACUCCUACGGGAGGCAGCAGUGGGGAAUAUUGGACAAUGGGCGCAAGCCUGAUCCAGCCAUACCGCGUGGGUGAAGAAGGCCUUCGGGUUGUAAAGCCCUUUUGUUGGGAAAGAAAAGCAGCAGGUUAAUACCCCGCUGUUCUGACGGUACCCAAAGAAUAAGCACCGGCUAACCUCGUG